GACGAACGCUGGCGGCGUGCUUAACACAUGCAAGUCGAACGGUAAGGCCCUUCGGGGUACACGAGUGGCGAACGGGUGAGUAACACGUGGGUGAUCUGCCCUGCACUUCGGGCUAAGCCUGGGAAACCGGGUCUAAUACCGGAUAGGACUCCGGACUGCAUGUUCUGGGGUAGAAAGCUUUUGCGGCGUGGGAUGGGCCUGCGGCCUAUCAGCUUGUUGGUGGGGUGAUGGCCUACCAAGGCGACGACGGGUAGCCGGCCUGAGAGGGUGACCGGCCACACUGGGACUGAGAUACGGCCCAGACUCCUACGGGAGGCAGCAGUGGGGAAUAUUGCAUAAUGGGCGCAAGCCCGAUGCAGCGACGCCGCGUGAGGGAUGACGGCCUUCGGGUUGUAAACCUCUUUCAGCAUCGACGAAGCGAAAGUGACGGUAGGUGCAGAAGAAGGACCGGCCAACUACGUGCCAGCCGCCGCCGUAA
rnacentral:rRNA from 1 species